GCUUGUCUCAAAGAUUAAGCCAUGCAUGUCUAAGUGUAAAUACGUCUACACUGUGAAACUGCGAAUGGCUCAUUAAAUCAGUUAUCGUUUAUUUGAUGAUCUCUUGUUACAUGGAUAACCGUAGUAAUUCUAGAGCUAAUACAUGCGUCAAGCCCCGACUCACGAAGGGGUGUAUUUAUUAGAUUCAAAGCCAACCGUGUAAAAGCGUACCUUGGUGAUUCAUAAUAACUUGUCGAACCGCACGCCCUUGAGGCAGCGGUGAUUCAUUCAAAUUUCUGCCCUAUCAACUUUCGAUGGUAGUGUAUUGGACUACCAUGGCAGUAACGGGUAACGAAGAAUUAGGGUUCGAUUUCGGAGAGGGAGCAUGAGAAACGGCUACCACAUCUAAGGAAGGCAGCAGG
rnacentral:rRNA from 1 species